rnacentral:rRNA from 1 species
CAGUCGACGAACUCUGGUAUUGAUUGGUGCUUGCAUCAUGAUUUACAUUUGAGUGAGUGGCGAACUGGUGAGUAACACGUGGGAAACCUGCCCAGAAGCGGGGGAUAACACCUGGAAACAGAUGCUAAUACCGCAUAACAACUUGGACCGCAUGGUCCGAGUUUGAAAGAUGGCUUCGGCUAUCACUUUUGGAUGGUCCCGCGGCGUAUUAGCUAGAUGGUGGGGUAACGGCUCACCAUGGCAAUGAUACGUAGCCGACCUGAGAGGGUAAUCGGCCACAUUGGGACUGAGACACGGCCCAAACUCCUACGGGAGGCAGCAGUAGGGAAUCUUCCACAAUGGACGAAAGUCUGAUGGAGCAACGCCGCGUGAGUGAAGAAGGGUUUCGGCUCGUAAAACUCUGUUGUUAAAGAAGAACAUAUCUGAGAGUAACUGUUCAGGUAUUGACGGUAUUUAACCAGAAAGCCACGGCUAACUACGUGCCAGCAGCCGCGGUAAUACGUAGGUGGCAAGCGUUGUCCGGAUUUAUUGGGCGUAAAGCGAGCGCAGGCGGUUUUUUAAGUCUGAUGUGAAAGCCUUCGGCUCAACCGAAGAAGUGCAUCGGAAACUGGGAAACUUGAGUGCAGAAGAGGACAGUGGAACUCCAUGUGUAGCGGUGAAAUGCGUAGAUAUAUGGAAGAACACCAGUGGCGAAGGCGGCUGUCUGGUCUGUAACUGACGCUGAGGCUCGAAAGUAUGG